UACGUAGGGUGCAAGCGUUAAUCGGAAUUACUGGGCGUAAAGCGUGCGCAGGCGGUUUAUAUAAGACAGUUGUGAAAUCCCCGGGCUCAACCUGGGAACUGCAUCUGUGACUGUAUAGCUAGAGUACGGUAGAGGGGGAUGGAAUUCCGCGUGUAGCAGUGAAAUGCGUAGAUAUGCGGAGGAACACCGAUGGCGAAGGCAAUCCCCUGGACCUGUACUGACGCUCAUGCACGAAAGCGUGGG
rnacentral:rRNA from 1 species